rnacentral:tRNA from 2 species
GGGGACGUAGUACAACCUGGCUAGUAUAAGCGGCUCCAGACCGCUGGAUCGGGGUUCAAAUCCCUGCGUCCCCA